UUCUGGUUAGCUCAGUUAGUAGAGCACUCCACAGGAAAUGGAGAGGCCCCUUGUUGGAUACCAGGACCAGGCG
rnacentral:tRNA from 1 species